UACGGAGGGUGCGAGCGUUAAUCGGAAUAACUGGGCGUAAAGGGCACGCAGGCGGGCUUUUAAGUGAGAUGUGAGAUCCCCGGGCUUAACCUGGGAAUAGCAUUUCAGACUGGGAGUCUAGAGUCCGGUAGGGAGGGGUAGGAUUCCACGUGUAGCGGUGAAAUGCGUAGAGAUGUGGAGGAAUACCGAAGGCGAAGGCAGCCCCUUGGGAAGGUACUGACGCUCAUGUGCGAAAGCGUGGGGAGCAAACAGG
rnacentral:rRNA from 1 species